rnacentral:rRNA from 1 species
AGAGUUUGAUCAUGGCUCAGGACGAACGCUGGCGGCGUGCUUAACACAUGCAAGUCGAACGGAAAGGCCCUUCGGGGUACUCGAGUGGCGAACGGGUGAGUAACACGUGGGUGAUCUGCCCUGCACUCUGGGAUAAGCCUGGGAAACUGGGUCUAAUACCGGAUAGGACCACACACUUCAUGGUGAGUGGUGCAAAGCUUUUGCGGUGUGGGAUGAGCCCGCGGCCUAUCAGCUUGUUGGUGGGGUAAUGGCCCACCAAGGCGACGACGGGUAGCCGGCCUGAGAGGGUGACCGGCCACACUGGGACUGAGAUACGGCCCAGACUCCUACGGGAGGCAGCAGUGGGGAAUAUUGCACAAUGGGCGCAAGCCUGAUGCAGCGACGCCGCGUGAGGGAUGACGGCCUUCGGGUUGUAAACCUCUUUCAGUAGGGACGAAGCGAAAGUGACGGUACCUACAGAAGAAGGACCGGCCAACUACGUGCCAGCAGCCGCGGUAAUACGUAGGGUCCGAGCGUUGUCCGGAAUUACUGGGCGUAAAGAGCUCGUAGGUGGUUUGUCGCGUUGUUCGUGAAAACUCACAGCUUAACUGUGGGCGUGCGGGCGAUACGGGCAGACUAGAGUACUGCAGGGAGACUGGAAUUCCUGGUGUAGCGGUGGAAUGCGCAGAUAUCAGGAGGAACACCGGUGGCGAAGGCGGGUCUCUGGGCAGUAACUGACGCUGAGGAGCGAAAGCGUGGGUAGCGAACAGGAUUAGAUACCCUGGUAGUCCACGCCGUAAGCGGUGGGUACUAGGUGUGGGUUUCCUUCCUUGGGAUCCGUGCCGUAGCUAACGCAUUAAGUACCCCGCCUGGGGGGUACGGUCGCAAGACUAAAACUCAAAGGAAUUGACGGGGGCCCGCACAAGCGGCGGAGCAUGUGGAUUAAUUCGAUGCAACGCGAAGAACCUUACCUGGGUUUGACAUGCACAGGACGUACCUAGAGAUAGGUAUUCCCUUGUGGCCUGUGUGCAGGUGGUGCAUGGCUGUCGUCAGCUCGUGUCGUGAGAUGUUGGGUUAAGUCCCGCAACGAGCGCAACCCUUGUCCUAUGUUGCCAGCGGGUAAUGCCGGGGACUCGUAGGAGACUGCCGGGGUCAACUCGGAGGAAGGUGGGGAUGACGUCAAGUCAUCAUGCCCCUUAUGUCCAGGGCUUCACACAUGCUACAAUGGCCAGUACAGAGGGCUGCGAAGCCGCAAGGUGGAGCGAAUCCCUUAAAGCUGGUCUCAGUUCGGAUUGGGGUCUGCAACUCGACCCCAUGAGGUCGGAGUCGCUAGUAAUCGCAGAUCAGCAACGCUGCGGUGAAUACGUCCCCGGGCCUUGUACACACCGCCCGUCACGUCAUGAAAGUCGGUAACACCCGAAGCCAGUGGCCUAACCUUUUGGAGGGAGCUGUCGAAGGUGGGAUCGGCGAUUGGGACGAAGUCGUAACAAGGUAACCGU